GAAAAUGAAACCCCUGGUAGCUGCUAACUACGAGUUUUGCAUUAAUUGUAACAUUUUCU
rnacentral:tRNA from 1 species